rnacentral:misc_RNA from 1 species
CUCAAACCACACAAACAUAUAAAAUGUAGUAAAAUUUUAAAUCAAUGGAUGUAAAAUUUAAUUCUUCAUUUGCCUCAAACACAACAUCAAACUGAAUUUAGUUGAAUUCUGUUACUAGGUACUAAAAAAGAAAAAUUGCUAAUUAAUUAUUAUGUGUAAAAUGAAAUGAAUUCCUCAGUCAUUUGCAUCUGAAUGGAGUGGUAAGAUCAAAAAUCAAGUGACCACAUCAACUUACAAACAUGUACCUGAGAAGCUUAACCAAAAUUAUGAUUGGUCAUAGG